GUCCUAGCCCUAAACGAUGCUCAUUAGGUGUGGGAGGUAUCGACCCCUUCCGCGCCGUAGCUAACGCAUUAAAUGAGCCGCCUGGGGAGUACGGCCGCAAGGUUGAAACUCAAAGGAAUUGACGGGGGCCCGCACAAGCGGUGGAGCAUGUGGUUUAAUUCGACGCAACGCGAAGAACCUUACCUGGGCUUGAACUACUGGUAGUAAGUCUUUGGAAACAUAGACUGAUCCGCAAGGAAGCCAGCAGAGGUGCUGCAUGGUUGUCGU
rnacentral:rRNA from 1 species